CCUUCUACUCCUCGCUCACAACCCAAGCCCAAGACCCAGCCCCCUUCCCCCUUACUUGUGUACAUAAAAACUCACUUGAGCAUACGGCGUCGUUCUGUCUGCAUAUAUAUUUUCGCCGGAGAUAUAGCUCAGAGAUGAAGUCUGGCCGGAGCGAAUCAAGCUGGGGAAAAUCAUCACUCGGUAAAUUUAUGGGAAGAAAACUUAACUAUUUGGCCCCUAAUUCUACAAACCCUAACCCUAAUUCAAAGCAAUUGAAGCAGAAAAGGAAGCAAUUUGAGUUAGACGUGCCUUUAAUUGAACGAGCUUCGGGGUGUUCGAAGAGUGGAUUGAAAGAGUUGAAGAGGACGCUGGAGACGGAGCUUCAGAAAGUUCGCAGCUUGAUUGAUCGAAUUGAAUCCGGAGCAUUUUCGGGAAAUGAAGCGAAUUUGUCGGGCCAGAAGAGGUCGGUGCCAGUGGUUGCGAAGGGGAAUGGUGGUGAUUUUGAUGAUUUGAUGAAGAUGUGUAGGGAAAUUUUGACGAAAUUGAUGAGGAAUAAGAGUAGUUGGGUUUUUAAUAAGCCGGUUGAUGCUAGUGGUUUGGGUUUAUAUGAUUAUCAUCAUAUUGUUAAGAAGCCGAUGGAUUUGGGGACGGUGAAAGCGUAUUUGGCUAAGAAUUUGUAUUCGUCACCUAGUCAAUUUGCUUCGGAUGUGAGGUUGACCUUUAAUAAUGCUAUGUUGUAUAAUCCGAAGACGGAUCAAGUUCAUUCCAUGGCUGCUCAGCUUUUGUCACAGUUUGAGGAUAUGUUUAGACCGGUUCAAGAGAAAUUGGAUAGUAGAGUUGAGAAAGAUGUGGUUCGUAGUGGGGAUGAUGAUUGCCGUGGAAGUUCUUGGAAUGAGAUUACUAGUUCAGAGAGACGCAAGAAGCCGAAGACUAAUUUAGUUAGUUCGAUUCCUCCGGUGAAGCCUGAGGUGAUUCCUGAGCCUUUGGUUCAGUCUAGUGUUUCUAAUCAGGCCAAUUUGGAUACUCGGUCAAUGCAGUUACCUCCUCAAACAAAGCAGUUACCCGUGUUGACUCCAUCUCCGGCGCGUUCGCAACCUGUGAAGUCAACUGGGUCAGUAAAAGCUGCCCCUACAACAAAGCAGCCUAAGCCAAAAGCAAAGGACCCUAAUAAGAGAGCUAUGACAAUGGAGGAGAAGCAGAAGUUGGGAGUUGGGUUGGAAAAUUUGCCUCAAGAGAAAAUGCCACAAUUGGUGCAAAUUAUACGGAAAAGAAAUGAACGUUUGGCACAGGCAGGUGAUGAAAUCGAGCUCGAUAUGGAGGCCCUCGAUACAGAAACUCUUUGGGAGCUUGAUAGAUUCGUGACAAAUUGGAAGAAGCUUGAAAGUAAGACGAAGCGACAAGCCCUUAUGGAGAACUUAUCAACAGCUCCCAUGGUUACAGCUGAUACUGAUGAGGCACUUGCUAGUGAUGUAAAUGAUGGAGCAAAAAAUAUUAAGAAAGGAGAUGGCGAUGGGGAUGUGGACAUUGGUGAUGAGAUGCGGGAAAGCAGUUCCCCCCAUGAGAAAAUCGAGAAAGAUGGUGGUGGGAAUGUUCAUGAAGAUGGAAACGUGAAUGGGAAUGAUAAUGCCAGUAGUAGCUCAAGUAGUUCAGGCAGUUCCAGCAGUGAUUCUUCUUCUGGUGAUUCAGAUUCCGGGAACCAUUCAGCAAGUGACUCUGAUGCAGAGAAUGAAGUGCAGUCAUGAAUAAAAUCUGGCUGAAGCCACUAAGGCAUGGUAUGGAAACUUUCCUCUCUAUAUGUUGGGCUGGCAUCAUGUGGUAACUACCAUCCUCAUAGUGAUGACAAUAGUGGUAUAUGUGGGUGUCGAGGAUAUGUGGGUUACCCAAUGGAUUCCUGUGUCAGAGACACUCGAAUCCCAUAUGAAUCCCCGUGUCAGAUUCGUGGACACUCUGAUGUGAGGAUACUUGUACAAUGCCAAAUGAUAUUGUUUCAACAACAAAUUGUACUUCAAAUUAGUGUCAAGUAAUUGUUUACAAAAAGAUGCCAUAUGAUCCCGCAUCCGAAUCUUCCAUAUUAUCGUUUGUGUUGAAUCUGUGGAUACUACUGCAGUCCUGCAUCCGUAGCCUUGCUUCUUUGCUGUCGAGUGAGCUAAAUUUUGAAGUGUCAUUUGCAGAACACUUGCAGAAGUGUUGAGUUUGUUGUAGCAUUGGUAAUUUAUUUCAAUGUCAAAUGAACCCGUACUUGAGGCCAAGAUGAAGAAUCAAAGGAAACACAUCAUCCAGUGCCAAGAGACUGGGCAUGGAUAAGUUAUUGGUUUGAUGCUUUGGUUGUAUGAUUUCUCGUGUACUGAUUACAAACAAUUUUAAAUAAUUUUUGAGCA